CCUACGGGCGGCAGCAGUGAGGAAUAUUGGUCAAUGGGGGGAACCCUGAUCCAGCGACGCCGCGUGAGUGAAGAAGUAUUUCGGUAUGUAAAGCUCUAUCAGCAGGGAAGAAAGAAAUGACGGUACCUGACUAAGAAGCCCCGGCUAACUACGUGCCAGCAGCCGCGGGAAUACGUAGGGGGCAAGCGUUAUCCGGAUUUACUGGGUGUAAAGGGAGCGUAGACGGCGAUGCAAGUCUGAAGUGAAAGGCGGGGGCCCAACCUCCGGACUGCUUUUGAAACUGUAUGGCUGGAGUGCAGGAGAGGUAAGUGGAAUUCCUAGUGUAGCGGUGAAAUGCGUAGAUAUUAGGAGGAACACCAGUGGCGAAGGCGGCUUACUGGACUGUAACUGACGUUGAGGCUCGAAAGCGUGGGGAGCAAACAGGAUUAGAUACCCGGGUAGUC
rnacentral:rRNA from 1 species